rnacentral:lncRNA from 1 species
GGUGGGGUUCAUGUUGCUUAUUCUUUAGUUUUAUAUGUUGUGUCAUGUGUUCUAUUGUUUGUCUGUUUGUCUUCUUUCAUUUUUAGCAAGACGUUGACAGUUUAUUUUCGAUUUAUGAGUUUGACUGUCCCUUUGGUAUCUUUCGUCCCUCUUUUUUUAUGCAUGAGCUUUUGCAAAAUAAACGUUCGGGAUAGAAGGCUUUAAUUGAAAACAACAUUUAUCAUUUAUUGCUGAGGUUGAAUGUCACCCAGCAAGGUUACUACUGUAACU